CUGCGAAUGGCUCAUUAAAUCAGUUAUCGUUUAUUUGAUAGUACCUUACUACUUGGAUACCCGUGGUAAUUCUAGAGCUAAUACAUGCUAAAAACCCCGACUUCGGGAGGGGUGUGUUUAUUAGAUAAAAAACCAACGCCCUUCGGGGCUCCUUGGUGAUUCAUGAUAACCUCUCAGAUCGCACGGCCUUGCGCCGGCGACGGUUCAUUCAAAUUUCUGCCCUAUCAACUUUCGAUGGUAAGGUAUUGGCUUACCAUGGUUUCAACGGGUAACGGGGAAUUAGGGUUCGAUUCCGGAGAGUGAGCCUGAGAAACGGCUCACACAUCCAAGGAAGGCAGCAGGCGCGCAAAUUACCCAAUCCCGACACGGGGAGGUAGUGACAAUAAAUACUGAUACAGGGCUCUUUUGGGUCUUGUAAUUGGAAUGAGUACAAUUUAAACCUCUUAACGAGGAACAAUUGGAGGGCAAGUCUGGUGCCAGCAGCCGCGGUAAUUCCAGCUCCAAUAGCGUAUAUUAAAGUUGUUGCAGUUAAAAAGCUCGUAGUUGAAUCUUUGGCCUGGCUGGCGGGUCCGCCUCACCGCGUGCACUUGUCCGGCCGGGCCUUUUCUUCUGGAGAACCGCAUGCCCUUCACUGGGCGUGUUGGGGACCAGGACUUUUACUUUGAAAAAAUUAGAGUGUUCAAAGCAGGCCUUUGCUCGAAUACGUUAGCAUGGAAUAAUAGAAUAGGACGUGCGGUCCUAUUUUGUUGGUUUCUAGGACCGCCGUAAUGAUUAAUAGGGACAGUCGGGGGCAUCAGUAUUCAAUUGUCAGAGGUGAAAUUCUUGGAUUUAUUGAAGACUAACUACUGCGAAAGCAUUUGCCAAGGAUGUUUUCAUUAAUCAGUGAACGAAAGUUAGGGGAUCGAAGACGAUCAGAUACCGUCGUAGUCUUAACCAUAAACUAUGCCGACUAGGGAUCGGGCGGUGUUAUCGAUUUGACCCGCUCGGCACCUUGCGAGAAAUCAAAGUG
rnacentral:rRNA from 1 species